rnacentral:lncRNA from 10 species
GUAGCGUAUCUCUUGGUCCACUGUCUGGCCAUUCUGUCAUGUUCUGCUCUGUUGGUCAUAUACUGAGUGGCAAUACUUCCCACCAAGGGGUCGGCUGGAAGAAAAGAAUGUAGAUUACUUUGGAGAAAGGAAAAGAACAUUUUAAACUUUAGCGAAUAGUGACAGCUUGGGUAGAUACGUACGACAAAGUAUGUGUGAUCAAACCCAUCUUCGAAACACCACUCCACCAUGCUGGAUAUUUUUCCAUCAAAAUUUCAAAAAAACAUAACGUUGGGGGAAGAGGGAAUGCUUAGGCUUUAGUGUACUGGUCUGUCUUUAUCUUAGUUCAUUCCAUUUUUCUCCCAACAAACAACACUCAAUUGGAGUUUCUUUACUCUUAUGUGUUAGGCUGAGUUCAGUAGAGACUGGAACGGUCAAGGCUUCAGACUGCAAUGAACAUCCAGCUGUGUUCAUGUGACCCUUAGCUCAAUGUCACCAGUUAACGGCAUUGUGAAUACUGUGAAGUCUUCGGGGCUGUUGCAGUGCAACACUAUUAACCUUUACGCUGGUUAAAGAGCCAGGUUGCCAGGCAAAACCUGGACCUCCAAUUAAGUAUAGUAUUUCUCUGAAUCUUAGGAUCUUUAAUAAAUUUAUAUUUGGUUUACCUAGAAAAUAUAUUUGUCUGUGUGUGUGUAUAUAUAUACAUAUGUGUAUAUAUAUAUAUUUUUUGAGACAGGGUCUCGCUUUGCCACCCAGGCUGGAAUGCAGUGCAGUGACAUGCUCAUGGCUCACUGCAGCUUUGACCUUCUGGGUUCAAACAAUCCUGACACCUCAGCCACCCUAGUAGCUGUGACUACAGAAAAAUAUUUUUUAAAUGAAAUGAAGUCCCAAAAAAGUCACAAUUCAAUAGUCACUAAGUAUUUAACAACUACCAUUUUCAAAAUUGAGUGCCAUCUCAGUGACCAGCUAUGGGACACAUGCUCACUGAACCCCAGAGGCACAGGUGAGGCUUGCCAGGCAGAUGACUCGACAUUUAGAAGUGUCUGAUUUGUUUUAUAAGAACUCUAUGGGAAAUUAAGCAACAGGAAAAAAAAAGGAGGAAGAAUAAUUGAAACUAAAAGCCCAAGGCAAACUUACGUCAGUCUUCAGUUUAAAAUACCUUGUUGCUAGAAUAUACUGAUUAAUGAAGUUGUGUGUCUCAACUAGUAGACUGAACUUGAUUAAAACUUUCUUUUGAAAAGCCGAUUAGUUUUUGUAUUCACAAACUUGUGCAGAAAAAUUAGUUUUGUCCUUUGAA